GGCAGCAGGUACAGGACUGGGGACCCUUAUCUCAGAGAAUGUUCCGGAAGCAAGCCUUGGAAGGCUGGGGCAGAGUGUGGGGUCAGCCUUGGCUUCUUUUCGAGUGAGGGUCAUAUAAAAGAGGAGUCACUAUUUGAAGCCACCCUGCGAGCCAUGAGGCUCGGGGUGAAGUGUAUCCGCAAAGCGUUACCCCCAGAAACGGACUCCUAGCGGCAAAGCUCCCGGAGGUGGGACUGCCACCGCAUCCAAGGGUUUAUGCACGGACGGCUGCUGAGGUGUGAUGAAUCCACAUCACUACGGCGGCCACCCGCGUGCCUGGUGGACCAAGGCGGCAAGUGCUAGUCGAGUUCAGAUCGAUCAUGCAGAGCCCUUGGCCGGUCAGUAAAUUAGGUCAUACUAACAAAAAUGAAGGCCACGGACAGAUAAAGUAACAAGAUUUCCCGCAGCCCCCCGCCGGGAAUGGUGGUUCACAAACUUGUUGAAAAUGCAGAUUCCUGACCAUUCCUGCAUCUCUCUCACCGCACCAGAUGGAAUCAAUAGGUCGGGGCCGGGCAUCUGCACUUUAACAAGCACCACCUGCCCCAAGUAUGGGGUACAGGUGGCAGCAAGGGAGCCUCAGACCACUCUGAAAAACGUGUCCCAGGAGAGUGGGUCUCAAGUUCGGCCCCCCCCCAGGUGAGCAGCAUCGGCAGCACCUGGCAACUUGCUAGAAAUGUUUUCAUUCCUGGUCUCCCCCCAACCUACUGAA